GAAAUGCGAUAAUUAAUGUGAAUUGCAGAAUUCAGUGAAUCAUCGAGUCUUUGAACGCACAUUGCGCCUUGUGGUAUUCCGCAAGGCAUGCCUGUUUGAGCGUCAGUAAAAAAUGUCAAGAAAGAAAUUUUUUUUUUCUUUCUUGGAUCAUAUCAAGAAAGUGAAAGGGAUUUAUUUCCUUUUUACCUCUUGAAAAAUGAUAGAUGGUCAAAAAGUUUUCUUUUUGCCAGACGUAAUAAGAUUACUUUUGUUUUCUAAUUCGUUUGGAUGAAAAUCUUUUUUAUUGACAAUCUUGAACCCACAUUUUUUUUUUGACUUGACCUCAGAUCAGGUAGGGAUACCCGCUGAACUUAA
rnacentral:misc_RNA from 1 species